UGGCUUAAGUAUAAAAUUAUGCACUUUCACUUUUUCUUUACACUAAUUUACGGAUUAAAAUCAAAAUACAACAAUUAAUUGACUUUUUCAGCAACGGUUCCUCCCCCACCCCCACGAUCUCUGCUUCGCUUCCUCUCUUUAACAAUAGAACCACUUAUAGUUUCUACUAAAAAGAAAAAAAUUCACUUCUCUUCAUCUUUCGAUUUUAUUUUCCUGUAACUUCUCUCCAGUUGUCUCAAAAACAUGAGCAUAAUAACUUUGAUUUAAAUGGAUGAUCUGUUUAUUUUCUAUUAUCCUCUCCAUCGUAAUGGUAAGACCCAAAACUCUACAUAUUCUCAUCGGCAUUCUUUGUAUUUCACUAUUGUCAAAUUAACUUCCCACUAAUAUUCUUCAAAUCAUAUACCUCUGUAGUUAAUCGACAAAAAAAAUUCGUUGAUAAAUUCUGUGAUUUUUAGUUUCUAUUACACAGGAUACUCAAUUACUUUAUUUACUUCAAUUUUAUUGUUCGUGAUUUUGAGCAUGUUGUUACUUUGAAGGCAAUCAUAUUACUCAUGUGCUUAAGUUAAUUCAAAGAGGAACAUACAUGUUGUGGCUUUGAAUGGGAACUCCAGGCAAUGAGAGUUGCAGCAUAUUGCAAGCCGAGUAUGUUAACGAAUCAUACAUAUUUGAUCGAUACUACCGAAAUUUCUAACUCGGCACAAAAAUCUUACUCCACUUGAAG